AAGGCCUCUCCUCUGCCCCACCUCUUUCAUGCCUUUCAUGUAGGCAAAGUAGACAGGGAGGGUGUUUUCUCCCAAUCAAGCUAUAAUCAAACUGACUUAGAAGAAGCUAUUAAUGCACAGAUCCAUCAUUGCUUGGCUAUGGACAAACGGGCAGGUGGUGCUGCACAACAGGCUGGGAUGAGCUCUUUUUUUCCUUCCUGGACGGAAAAGCUGCCACGUCUUUGAGCUGCUGAGAUGUUGCCAUGAUGUGGUGGUGCCUGAGGAGUGGUCCUUUCUUUGGCAUCUGCAGGCCCUGAGGCAUGGUCUGGAACUGGAAGAGGAACAAAGGGUUGCUGAAGUCUGCUUUGCAGGUAG
rnacentral:lncRNA from 10 species